GCUGGCGGCAUGCUUAACACAUGCAAGUCGAACGGUAACAGGACGCUAGGAUCCCUUCGGGGUGACGUUUGUCGCUGACGAGUGGCGGACGGGUGAGUAAUGCAUAGGAAUCUGCCCAGUAGUGGGGGAGUAACUCGAAGAAAUUCGAGCUAAUACCGCAUAUGUCCCACGGGACAAAGCAGGGGACCUUCGGGCCUUGCGCUAUUGGAUGAGCCUAUGUCGGAUUAGUUAGUUGGUAGGGUAAAAGCCUACCAAGGCAACGAUCCGUAGCUGGUCUGAGAGGAUGAUCAGCCACACUGGGACUGAGACACGGCCCAGACUCCUACGGGAGGCAGCAGUGGGGAAUAUUGCACAAUGGGCGCAAGCCUGAUGCAGCAAUGCCGCGUGUGUGAAGAAGGCCUGCGGGUUGUAAAGCACUUUUAUUAGGAAAGAAAAACCCGGAAUUAGUACUUCCGGCAUUGACGGUACCUAAAGAAUAAGCACCGGCUAACUCAGUG
rnacentral:rRNA from 1 species